AUGAAAACCAAGUUACAUGUUAUCUUCAAGCAGAUUCUUGAGCUAAGGGAAGUGCAGUUCUACCCUAUCUUUAACAGGAUCUGAAGUCUUUUACUCCAUUCCCCACCAGUAUAGGUUCCAUUUCUUAUGCAAUAAUCCUCUAGCUGUACUGAGUGGCACUGUAGAAAACAUUUGUUUUCCAGGGCUGGGAUCCAAUAGAGGAUGGCUUCUUUUCACACAUGUUGUUACACAGUUGUGUGUAGUCUUGCUUCUCAGACUUUCAGAGCUCAGUCAGUCUGACCUCCAAUUCACAGCAAUCUUCUUGCUGUGGUUUCCUGAUUGCUGGGAUUACAUUACACUCAAAACCACCAGAUGUCUAAGACUCACAUGAACAGAAUGAAAUAAAGUCUGUUUUGACCCCCAUCUAUGACUGGCUGAGUGACAUGUCCUUGGAAGACUGGUCACUUCAUGCUAGAGGUUAAUUACUAUGUUCACUAGAUUCAAAUGCUGGAGUAAAUAAAUCCCAAAGUGGCAGAUUCAACACACAAGUUAGCUGACUGGUAAAGUUUAGUGUUAAUUAAAAAUGGAGUGGGGAUCCAUGUUGCCAUGAACUAUUUUCUUGUUCAUUUUAUCCUAGCCCUUCAAGCUCCUAGGUAUUUUAGAUGUUGAGAACACUCCAUGCGCUCGAGAAUCUAUACUGUAUGGCUCACUAGGAUCUAUUGUGACUGGACUUGGACAUUUCUUGGUGACCAGCAGAAUUAGAAGAUCCUGUGAUGUUGGAGUAGGAGGAUUUAUCCUGGUGACUUUAGGAUGCUGGUUCCACUGUAGGUAUAAUUUUGCUAAGCAGAGGAUCCAGGAAAGAAUUGCCAGAGAAGGAAUAAAAAACAAGAUUUUAUAUGAAAGCACCCACCUUGAUCCUGAAAGAAAAACGAAGAGCAGUAACAGCAGCUGAGCGACUUCAUCAGCUUUAAACCCACAACUAUGCUUCCUUGUGAAUCAACCAUAAAUUAAACUCAAGUGUGUCAACUGU
rnacentral:lncRNA from 1 species